rnacentral:ncRNA from 1 species
GCGCAAGGCGUGUUUGACGACGAUGUUCGGGAAACUCACGCCCUUGAGCCGGGCGGUCCGGAUGUAUUGUGCGGUCAUGACUUCGGCCAUCGACGCGCGUGUCAUGCGCGCGAUGUAGCCCAUUCCGUAGAGCGAGAUCGUCAGAACCGGCAGGAAGAAGUUCUCAAAGUUCGCAUCC